rnacentral:rRNA from 1 species
GAUGAACGCUGGCGGCGUGCCUAACACAUGCAAGUCGAACGAAGCAUUUAAGAUGGAGUCCUUCGGGAUGAAGCCUUUUAUGACUGAGUGGCGGACGGGUGAGUAACGCGUGGGCAACCUGCCUUACACAGGGGGACAACAGCCGGAAACGGCUGCUAAUACCGCAUAAGCGCACAGUUUCGCAUGGAACAGUGUGAAAAACUCCGGUGGUGUAAGAUGGGCCCGCGUCUGAUUAGCUUGUUGGCGGGGUAACGGCCCACCAAGGCAACGAUCAGUAGCCGACCUGAGAGGGUGACCGGCCACAUUGGGACUGAGACACGGCCCAA